rnacentral:lncRNA from 1 species
UGGAAACUGAGACCCAGAGAGCCGUGACUUGACUGAUCCCACAGCCAGGAAAUGGUGGAGCCUGGAUUUGAACCCCAGCUUUUAAGAAGAAGGUGCCACUGUCCUGGAAGAACUCUCAGGACAGCAUUAGUGUCUCAGGGAUCCCCCUAAUCGGAGGGGCCUUAAGGCAACCUAAUCAUGAUUGUCACUGAAGAUCCAGGAGGGCUUCCUGGAGGAGGAGGCAGCUCCAUUCUGAAAUGCCAAGGGUACAGCUUUAUUGGGACAGCCAGUGUCUCUGAAUAUGUAGGUUUUGCACAGAGCUUGUACUGCCCCAGGGCCUGUACACUGCCUGUCCCCUCUGCCUUGUGCACUCUUUCCCUAGAUGUCCAAAUGGCUCCUUUCCUCACCUACCCCAAAUCUCAAUUCCAGUGUUUCCCCAGCCUCCCCUCAUUUCAGUAAUCACUCUGCAGUGAGCUAGGAUUGCGCCACUGCACUCCAGCUUGGAUAAGAGAACAAGACCCUGUCUCUUAACUAAAUACAUAAAUAAAA